CCUGGCGGCACUAGCGCGGUGGUCCCACCUGACCCCAUGCCGAACUCAGAAGUGAAACGCCGUAGCGCCGAUGGUAGUGUGGGGUCUCCCCAUGUGAGAGUAGGGGACUGCCAGGC
rnacentral:rRNA from 1 species